rnacentral:misc_RNA from 1 species
GUCAGAGGUGUAUAAGAGACAGGUGAAUCAUCGAAUCUUUGAACGCACAUUGCGCCCUGUGGUAUUCCGCAGGGCAUGCCUGUUCGAGCGUCAGUACAACACUCAAGCUCAGCUUGGUCUUGAGCCUAGCCGGUCACGGCGGGUUUUAAAAUUAGUGGCGGUGCCACCUGGCUCUAAGCGUAGUAAUACUCCUCGCUAUUGAGUCCUGGUGGACGCUGGCCAGCAACCCCCAACUUUCCAAGUUUGACCUCGGAUCAGGUAGGGAUACCCGCUGAACUUAAGCAUAUCAAUAAGCGGAGG